UGGCUGUAAUGCUAGGGUCUCAGGAGUCUGAGACAGGAAGAUUAUGAGUUCAAAGCCAGCCUCAGCAAUUUAGGGAGGCACUAAGCAACUUAGAGAGACCCUGUCUCUAAAUAAAACAUAAAAAAAGGGCUGGGGAUGUAGCUCAGUGGUUAAGUGCCCCUGGUUCAAUCCCUAAUACCAAACAAACAAACAAAAAGUGUACUGCAGGU
rnacentral:lncRNA from 1 species